GUGGCCCGGCUAGACACUGCCCAGACACCUACGGGUGGCUGCAGUCGAGAAUCUUCGGCAAUGAGCGAAAGCUUGACCGAGCGACGCCGCGUGCGGGAUGAAGGCCUUCGGGUUGUAAACCGCUUUCGGUAGGGAGGAAAUUGCUAGGGGCUAUCCCCUAGUAUUGACCUAUCUUCGGAAGAAGGACGGGCUAAGUUCGUGCCAGCAGCCGCGGUAAUACGAACCGUCCAAACGUUAUUCGGAUUUAUUGGGCUUAAAGGGUAUGUAGGCGGCGCCAUCAGUCGGGUGUGAAAGCCCUCGGCUCAACCGAGGAACUGCGCCCGAUACUGUGGUGCUUGAGGGAGACAGAGGUAAGCGGAACUGAUGGUGGAGCGGUGAAAUGCGUUGAUAUCAUCAGGAACACCAGUGGCGAAAGCGGCUUACUGGGUCUCUUCUGACGCUGAGAUACGAAAGCUAGGGGAGCGAACGGGAUUAGAUACCCCGGUAGUCCUAGCUGUAAACGAUGAGCACUUGAUCGAGGGGCCUCCCAUAGCCUCUCGGUCGCAGCGAAAGUGGUAAGUGCUCCGCCUGGGGAGUAUGGUCGCAAGGCUGAAACUCAAAGGAAUUGACGGGGGCUCACACAAGCGGUGGAGGAUGUGGCUUAAUUCGAGGCUACGCGAAGAACCUUAUCCUAGUCUUGACAUGCACGGAUCAACCCGGUGAAAGCCGGGCCACGCCUUCGGGUGGAACGUGCACAGGUGCUGCAUGGCUGUCGUCAGCUCGUGUCGUGAGAUGUCGGGUUAAGUCCCUUAACGAGCGAAACCCUUGUCGCUAGUUGCCAGCGAGUCAUGUCGGGGACUCUAGCGAGACCGCCGGCGUUAAGCCGGAGGAAGGUGGGGAUGACGUCAAGUCCUCAUGGCCUUUAUGACUAGGGCUGCACACGUCCUACAAUGCCGCGCACAAAGGGAAGCAAACCCGCGAGGGCAAGCAAAUCCCAGAAAACGCGGCUCAGUUCGGAUUGCAGGCUGCAACUCGCCUGCAUGAAGCUGGAAUCGCUAGUAAUCGUAGGUCAGCAUACUACGGUGAAUAUGUUCCUGAGCCUUGUACACACCACCCGUCAAGCCACGAAAGUGGGGGGGGCUUAAAGUCACUACGCUAACCCGCAAGGGAAGCAGGUGCCUAGAGUCAACUCCGCGAUUGGGACUAAGUCGUAACAAGGUA
rnacentral:rRNA from 1 species